GAGUGCUAUCAUACUAGCGUGAAUGCAUCGAAUCCCAUCAGAACUCUGCAGUUAAGUGUGCUUGGGCUAGAGUAGUACUGGGAUGGGUGACCUCCCAGGAAGUACUAGUGUUGCACCCU
rnacentral:rRNA from 1 species